rnacentral:rRNA from 1 species
GGAAGUGGGGGAUAACGUUCGGAAACGGACGCUAAUACCGCAUACGUCCACGGGAGAAAGCAGGGGACCUUCGGGCCUUGCGCUAUCAGAUGAGCCUAGGUCGGAUUAGCUAGUUGGUGGGGUAAUGGCUCACCAAGGCGACGAUCCGUAACUGGUCUGAGAGGAUGAUCAGUCACACUGGAACUGAGACACGGUCCAGACUCCUACGGGAGGCAGCAGUGGGGAAUAUUGGACAAUGGGCGAAAGCCUGAUCCAGCCAUGCCGCGUGUGUGAAGAAGGUCUUCGGAUUGUAAAGCACUUUAAGUUGGGAGGAAGGGCAGUAAAUUAAUACUUUGCUGUUUUGACGUUACCGACAGAAUAAGCACCGGCUAACUCUGUGCCAGCAGCCGCGGUAAU